rnacentral:lncRNA from 1 species
UCAUUAUUUUUAUAAUACCCGAAGUCGCAUUUUUGUGGCUAUAAAAGGGAGUGUAGGAGUAAAGUUCCAACCGCACCCCCUUAUCUUGUUUUUCUUGGAAAGCCAAAGUUCUAUCUACAAAUUCUAAAUACAAUGCCAAGAGCCACACAUGUUAUUACAUGCAAAGGUAUACAUAUCAACCCUCAAAGCAUGUUUAUCACUUCAAUUUUUAUUUUAUGUGAUUUUUUUCUUCUUUCAAAUAGCCUAAUAGUUAAAAACUAUUAAAUUAUUUCAUUUGUAAAUAAUUAAAUAUUUAACGAUAUAAGAGAUCAAUUGUUGAAUGAUUACUAGUUACAUUUAGAAUAAAAGAUAUAUUUGGUGUAUUGAAAAUGAAAGAAAAAAAAUAUAAUUGGUAAAUGUUAUUUCCAAUCUUGUGAGGGUAAAAUAACAUAAAUUAUGUAAUUUCUAUGUAUCUGCUUAGUAAUAAUUAUAUCAUUAAUUUAUCAUUCAUAUAUUGAUGAUUUUUUAUAUAAUAUAUAAUUUUAUUUUCACCGACUAAAAUUCUUAGAUCCGUCAUUGAUUAGACUCAUACAUUUCGAGUGAAAAUUUUUGAAUUUAAAGUCAAACUCAUAUAUAUCAACAUCUUUACAACCAACAAGUGAAUUGUAUUUUUAGAUCUAUCAUUGACUAAACUCAUAUAUUUCGAGUGAGAAAUUUCGAAUUUAAAAUCAAACUCAUAUAUAUAUAUCAACAUCCUUACAAUUAAUAAGUGAAUUGUAUUUAGAAAAUUGUAGUAGAGGAUAAAGUUGUAAAUUAAAUUAUUUAAAACAAUGAAAAAAAGUUAUUUAGAAUCACUUUAAAAGAUUAGAUAUUUUAAAAAUUCCAAUUAUUUAAUUGAAUAACGGAACGAUAAAGUUAUAAAUAAAAUAAGAAAAAAAUUAUUCAAAAGUCCAAACUAGUAUUUCCUUUUUAUUAUAUAGUCUUUAAUCUUUAUACUCAUAAAAAAAUAGAUAUUGUCUUCACUCACAUUUAUAAAUAUA